UACCCCUCGCCCCCCAUGCUCCUGUGGGAUGCUCCAUCCGCCCCACCAUCGCAGCAUUCACAAGCUGCCUUGUACCUUGAGGUAUUUUGUGAUACAAAUAGAAAUACAUUACGACCUACAGCCCUGCUUGCUUGCACAAAUGUCUAAGGAGUCUAAGGAGUCCCAGACACUACAGACCUGCUACGGAAACUUAAAAACAUAGACCACCUUCCCAGCAACACACUCCUAGCCACCAUGGACGUUACCAGCCUAUAUACCAACAUCCCACACCAGGAUGGCAUCCAAGCCUGCCUUACAUAUCUACAGGAACAAGAUUACAACCCAGAAUACAGACCCAAAGAUAUCACUGAGCUUAUACACUUCAUCCUCACACACAACAAUUUCACUUUUAAUAAUCAACACUUCCUCCAAAUGAUGGGAACAGCUAUGGGCACUAAAAUGGCCCCAUAGUAUGCCAACCUUUUUAUAAGCCACCUGGAAGAAGACUUCCUCAAGAACUGCACCAGCAAACCCUUGCUGUACUUACGAUACAUCGAUGACAUCUUCAUCAUUUGGAGUGAGAACCUGGAAUCUCUGAUUGAGUUCCACCAGAAAUUCAACAGUCACCAUCCCUCCAUCUGAUUUUCUUUAGAAUACUCCAGCACCAACAUCCCCUUUUUAGACACAAGGAUCAGUAUGCAGAAGGGUAAAAUACAGACCACAGUAUACAAGAAACCCACAGACCAACAUACAUAUCUGCACAGAACCAGCAAUCACCCUAAACACACCAAAAAAGCUGUGAUAUACAGCCAAGCCCUCAGAUACCACCGCAUCUGUACUGAAGAGAACACCCAGGAUUGCCACCUCACCAAUCUUAAAAAGGCUUUCACCCAGCAAGGACACUCCUCCAGAGAGGUAGAUCGCACCUUUGAAAGAGCCACCUGGAUACCACGUGAAGAACUGCUGCAGUACAGAAGAAAACUCCCCACAAAUCGCACACCGCUGGUUAUGACCUAUCACCCAUCCCUUGAACCUGUACAGAAAAUCCUCAAAAAAUUGCAACCCAUAUUAGAAAGAGACCCUAUUCUUAAAAAGAUCUUCCCAGAGCCACCCAUCCUAGCCUUCAGACAAGCACCAAACCUCGCCAACCUCAUCACCAGAAGCAAACUUCCUCAAGCCUAGAACACACCAAAAGGAUCCAGACCGUGCCAGGACAAGAGAUGCAAAACCUGCCCCCACAUCUCCACCACCCCCCACUAUUACUACACCCCACAACAGAGCCAUCAGCAUCCCUGGAUCUUACAGCUGCACCUCCAGAAAUGCAAUAUACCUCAUCCAAUGCACCAAAUGCCCUGAUGGAAGAUAUGUAGGAGAGACCAAACAACAACUGCGCACCAGAAUGAACGCACACCGGAAAUCCAUCAAAGACAGAAACACCCAAUUACCGGUGGGGGCACAUUUCUCACAGGAGGGCCACUCUCUCUCCAAUCUCUCAGUCCUGAUCCUCAAGGGAAACUUACACAACACUUCCCAGAGACGAGCCUAUGAGCUCCAUUUCAUCAACCUGCUGGAUACUAGAGAUCAUGGACUAAACAUAGACAUUGGAUUUUUGAUACAUUAUAAUCUGCCUGGCAACUGACUCCCCAGCCCAGCCCAGCCCCUGGCUUCUUUACUUGUCAUUCCAUCCAGGAAGAGCACACACCAACUGCUGAAGCUUCCUUAGCCUGAUGAAGGGUUUUUGAACCCGAAAGCUUGCUUAAUAACUAUUCUCCAACCAUUUGGGUUGGUCUAAUAAAAGAUAUCAAAUUCACCCAAGGAACCUUGUCUGCCUAAGGAGUCCCAGUGAACUCAGAGUUGUUAUUUGCAUGCAUAAAGGUUUUCAUGUCACUUAAGUGUAAAGGACCAGGAGCUUAGGGUCCAAGUGCAGUCAUUAUCACCAUGAACAGUGCGGUUAUUCACAUUAUUAUUGCCACUGCUGCUGUUGCAUCUAAAGGCUUCUAUCACGAAGUAGGCUCUAUUGUAACAGAAACCAUACUAGAUAUAGUGAAACACAGUCCCUUUCUCCAGAAGCUUAAAACUGAAGUUAAAUACAUUGACAGUAUGAGAGGAGAAACAAGGGUUCAGAGAGGUAAAGUGAUCUAUGCAAGAGUGGGCAGCAGAGUGUGCAUAGAGCACAGGUCUCUUGAUUCCCCGUGUAAUGCCUGUCCAUCAAAUGACCUCACCUCCUUUAUAAAUGUAACCCUCUGCGGCAUGCUAGGCUGGGCAAUAUGCUGGAUUCUGGAUCCUCAGGGUGCCAGUAGCCCUGGGAACCCCCUCAGACAGGUCUACUGCCGGAGGCAUCUGUGGGUGGUUGCCAACCGCUGGUCAGCACUCCCCACCCACGCCCUCCACCGCUAACAGUGCCAUGGCUGUCUGCGGGAGCUCACCACUCACAACCACCACGCUCCAACCACCAACAGCACCACCACCAUCUGUGGGAGCUCACCAUGCCCCCCCAGCUUCCAGGGGCAUGCGGCGUUCAUGCCUCCAGUAAAAAGCAUGCAUUGUGCACAGCAUACUUUCCAUCUGAAAAAGCUAUUGCACCCUCUGCAAACUUUUUGAUGCCUUCCUUGCAAAGUUCUUAGGCACAGCUCACCCACUCAGAUGCAGCCAAGCAAGCCUUUGCAGCUGUUACACAGUAAUAAGCGUUUACAGAAUCAGGCUCUAAUUUGGGGUGUGGUACAGUAAGUGAGGGUACUGGAUGAGAAUGAGGUAAGAGACACCUCUAGUUACAGCAGUACCAUCAUCUGCAGGUCUUUUUUAUAAAAAUAAAAAAAAUUGCUAUUGAACAGUUGAGUUUGCUGUGCAGUUGUAAACACAGAUCAUGCUGUAUGGAUUUGGGGACAAAAAUCAUUUUCAUACAUCAGAAUUCAACCAUCUUCUAUUAAUUUUAUCUUCCAUCUCUUUCAGCAGAAUCAAAUUUGAAGUGUAUAGCCACUUUAACAAUUAAAACACCCUUGCUUUUAUAUAAACUAGUUCAUUUUAUCUUCUUUCCCACUGUAGCAUCAGUAGUCUACUGUGCAGCUAGUACCUGUAAAUACAGAUACUAACUGUGCAGUAGAUACUGCACCAUAGGGAUCAUGUAGACACAGACUGAGAGCUAACUUGCUUCCAGUCAGCCACACCAGCAAGGGACCCAGUCCUGGUGCUGCUCAGCUCUUGGCUCCCCCAGAAGCCAGGAGCUGAUUAGCGUGGGGACCAGGUCCCUCUCUCCCCAAUCCUGUUGCAGCACUGUGGGGCUCCUGGCUCCUCACAGGAGCAGGGAGCUGAGCAGUGCCAGGACUGAAGAGCUACCAGUAGGGCAGCUAGCAGCCAGCCCCCAGCUGGUUGGGGAAUCCCUGCCCCGCUGGGCCACACUGCUAGCUGCCCCAUCAGUAGAUCAGGGCAGGGGGAUGGGACUUGCCCUCCCCCACAGCUGUUUCCCAGCCCCAUGCCUCAAUUGGCCAAUGGGGGCACAGGGGAGGAGGCUCUUCCCAGCCCCCUGUCCAGGACACCUCCUGAUGUGUACACUGUCUCCUGAUCCCAUGCACAUGGGGACCAGCCCUGUGCUCCCUGCCAUCCCCUGGGCUAGCACAGGGGGAGCCUUGAGUUCCCCCUGGCUGCUGCAGGAUGGCAGAGCAAGGUGGAAGCAGCCCUCUCUGGACUGCUCCAAUUGGGAACAGAUCUGCUUCCAGGAGGGAGCAGGUGUGACUUGCUCCCCAGUAGGCUUACUGUGCAGUAUUUUUACUGUGCAGUAAGCCUAUUUCAAAUUAACCCAGGGCCAGGGGAGUGCAGGCAGGCCAGACCAGGAAGCUGGGGCAGGGACUGGAAGGUCUCUUCCCCCAUUGCAAGACUUACCAUGUGCCUGGGGCUGGCAAGGCUGCUGGCUUGGCGUGGGCCUCCCCGCCUGCUGGGCUUGUGGACAACAAACAGGUUCCCUGUUGUGUGUGCCCCAAGGCACAAAAUGGCUGUAGGCUUUUAUACUCUGAAGCUAGGGGCUGCCAGAAAGCAGCCCAGCCCUGGAGCAGGAGAGGUAGCCAGUCAGGAGCCCUGGGGCUGGGCUUAGGCUGCUCCCCUAAUGGCUGGGCAGACCCACCCAGCACUAAAGUUAGUGCCAGUUUGAGUCUAUACAUGCACUACUGCACAUUAACUAAUCACCCCUAAAUUUGAUACUUGCAUUUGCAGGUAUCAAAUUUAGUCGCAAUCAACCAUUUUUAUUGUGAAGUAAGGGCACGCACGUGUAGACACACAUGCAUGAGCAACUGGUGCCGCAGCCGAUCCUGCCGACCAGAGGGGAGUGGGAUCGGGUCCCCCCCGUGGCCAAUCGCAAGACGGCCAAUCACUGUGCCCAAUCGCUGCGGCUGCUUUUGGGAGUACAAGGGUGCUUCACUCCCCAGCCAGCACUCGCAGGGGGCACUGGCACUCCCGCCAGCGCUCCCUGCCCAUAGCCUAAGCAGAGAGCACUGGAGCUCUCAGGGGGUGCACUGGAGCUCUCAGGGGGUGCAUGUGCACCCCCUACACAACCACUGCACACAUUUGUACUACACAGUAAGUUGGACUAAUGUUCAUUAACACAUCUUGCGUAGGGGCACCCAAUAUGGAUCCGAAUCUCAGAAUCUAGCCCGCCGUGAGCAUAACAACUUUCAGAAUUUACCCCUUGUUUCUCUGAAUAGACAGAAACAACCUCCAAGUACAAUUAUUUGAUUUAAGAGGCUAAAUUAGUGCCCAGGUUUGAAUGGUCUGACAACAAGAUGAAAGUUAAUUAGCUCUGUUUGCUAAAUUUUUGAAUGCUUGUGAAAAAGCCCGUCUCGUCUUAAGGUAAUUAAUUGCCUUUCGGCUAUUCAAGAUGCUCAUAAUUAUGAGUCUGAAAGUGCUUGUUAGGCCUUCAAUAAAACAAAUCAGGCUUAUAAAACAUUGAAACAUUAUACCACUGAGCCAUCAGGAAAUUCAAAUAGUUCCUAGUUCAAGACUCUCAGAAGUUAUUGAAAAUGCAAAGAAAUGGGGUAUCUGAAUGUGGUUGUGUAGGAGAGAACAGGCUUGUAAAAGCUAAAUAAAAAAAAAUAAAAAGAAGAAACCAAGAAAGAAGGAACCUGUGGACAGAGUCCUCAAAUAGUACUUCAAGGGUAACUGCCUAAUAUUGAACAAAAUGUCUUGCGCUAAACCUUUUGCUUUUUCUGUUUUUUAAUGCAGAUUUGGGUUUAACAAAAUAUUGAGAUAGUAUGUAUUGUUGUCAUGGUCUUCUUCAGUCAAAAUAAAAAAGACAUUAAAAAAUUAAA